rnacentral:tRNA from 1 species
AGAAACUUAGGAUUACUUUAUAAACCGAAGGCCUUCAAAGCCUUAAACAAGAGUUAAACCCUCUUAGUUUCUG